rnacentral:pre_miRNA from 1 species
CAUAUACUCCCUCCGUCCGGAAAUACUUGUCGGAGAAAUGGAUGUAUCUAGACGUAUUUUAGUUCUAGAUACAUCAAUUUUUAUCCAUUUCUUCGACAAGUAUUUCUGGACGGAGGGAGUACUUA